rnacentral:rRNA from 1 species
UACGUAGGGCGCGAGCGUUGUCCGGAUUUAUUGGGCGUAAAGAGCUCGUAGGCGGCUUGUCGCGUCGUCCGUGAAAACUUGGGGCUCAACCCCAAGCCUGCGGUCGAUACGGGCAGGCUAGAGUUCGGUAGGGGAGACUGGAAUUCCUGGUGUAGCGGUGAAAUGCGCAGAUAUCAGGAGGAACACCGGUGGCGAAGGCGGGUCUCUGGGCCGAUACUGACGCUGAGGAGCGAAAGCGUGGGGAGCGAACAGG